rnacentral:lncRNA from 1 species
UUCUUUGCCAUCUUGUUCUCCUGCUCCUUGCUUGCCUCAUGAAGAUCUUGCUGCUUUUGCUCUCUUCGGCGAGCUUUCUCUUCCAAGAUCCUUUCUACUGCUUUUGUCUUCUUGAAAUUUGGAUCAGAAGGAUCCACAUUAAAUAAGGGGGAAGUAAACAUGGCUUGGAACCUUGUAUCAGCAACAUUUACCUGGAAGUCAUCUUCUAAUAAUUCCUUCUUUUUCAUUAAGAGUUUCUUUUUCUUCUUGCUCAAAUUCUGCUGUUCUACAAUCUGUUUAUAAUUAAAAUGCUUUCUGCCAUCGUCCUCAUCAUCCAUCAUAAGCAGAGCCAUUUCAGCCUUCUGUCUUUCAACUUCAGCCUCAUCUUCUGAAU